rnacentral:rRNA from 1 species
UACGGAGGAUCCAAGCGUUAUCCGGAUUUAUUGGGUUUAAAGGGUGCGUAGGCGGCCUAUUAAGUCAGGGGUGAAAGACGGUAGCUUAACUAUCGCAGUGCCUUUGAUACUGAUGGGCUUGAAUGUACUUGAGGUAGGCGGAAUGUGACAAGUAGCGGUGAAAUGCAUAGAUAUGUCACAGAACACCGAUUGCGAAGGCAGCUUACUAAAGUAUGAUUGACGCUGAGGCACGAAAGCGUGGGGAUCAAACAGG